AUUUGUUUAACUAUGGCAAUAGGAAGUAUUAGGAACUUAAUUGCAUAAAAGUCUUUUAGUUUAAUAAUUUAUGAGAUCCUUUUGUUUUAUUAGCAGUUAGUUUUUUAUUAGAAUUUGCGUUUUUUAAGAGGUUCCUAAAUAAAGGGGAUAGGACACAGUGCCAGCAUCCGCGGUUAUUCUGUUUUCUUUGCUUUUGUAUGAGCAUAUAAUUAAGUAUAUAGUAGCAAGGUUAGGUGAAAUUUUCUUGUGACAUAUGAUGAAUACUUAAAAUUUAAAAAGGUAGUUUAGCAUGACAGGGAUUAGAUACCCCAUUAGUAUCUAUUUUAAUUAAGCUUUAGUUUUAUAACUAAAAUAGUUUGGCAGCGAGUUAUUCUUAUCGGGGGAAGGUGCGUUAUAAAGGACGAUCCGCCAAGUAAUUAACCCCUAUUAUGUUGGUGUAUAUCUGGUUAAAUAUUAUUGUUUAGUAACAUAAUUUGUGUAUUAUUCUUAUUAAGCCAAGUCUAUGUGCUGCGUGUAGGGGGUAUCGUGCGUUACAUUUAUAACUGUUGGAUUGUAAUAUUCAAUUAUUAAGGACUCGAAAGUAAUAUAAAAUCAAUUGGUUUGUGUGAAAUGGGUUUAACUCGGGUACACACCGCCCGUCACCCUCGACUUCUGUUGAGGUAAGUCGUAACAUGGUAACCCCAAAUGAAUUUGGGGUUAAUUUUAGUCUAAU
rnacentral:ncRNA from 1 species